UACGUAGGGUGCGAGCGUUAAUCGGAAUUACUGGGCGUAAAGCGUGCGCAGGCGGUUCGUUGUGUCGGCGGUGAAAGCCCCGGGCUCAACCUGGGAAUGGCCGUUGAAACUGGCGAACUGGAGUGUGGCAGAGGGGGGUGGAAUUCCGCGUGUAGCAGUGAAAUGCGUAGAGAUGCGGAGGAACACCGAUGGCGAAGGCAGCCCCCUGGGCUGACACUGACGCUGAGGCGCGAAAGCUAGGGGAGCAAACAGG
rnacentral:rRNA from 1 species